GACGAACGCUGGCGGCGUGCCUAAUACAUGCAAGUAGAACGCUGAAGGAGGAGCUUGCUUCUCUGGAUGAGUUGCGAACGGGUGAGUAACGCGUAGGUAACCUGCCUGGUAGCGGGGGAUAACUAUUGGAAACGAUAGCUAAUACCGCAUAAUAUUGACUAUUGCAUGAUAGUCAGUUGAAAGGUGCAACUGCACCACUACCAGAUGGACCUGCGUUGUAUUAGCUAGUUGGUGGGGUAACGGCUCACCAAGGCGACGAUACAUAGCCGAACUGAGAGGGUGAUCGGCCACACUGGAAGUGAGACACGGCCCAGACUACUACGGGAGGCAGCAGUAGGGAAUCUUAGGCAAUGGACGGAAGUCUGACCGAGCAACGGCGCGUGAGUGAAGAAGGUUUUCGGAUCGUAAAGCUCUGUUGUAAGAGAAGAACGAGUGUGAGAGUGGAAAGCGCACACUGGAACGGUAUCUUACCAGAAAGGGACGGCUAACUACGU
rnacentral:rRNA from 1 species